rnacentral:sRNA from 1 species
GAGAAGGCGUGAUGUUGACGGGGUCCUAAGAUGGCUGCUGGGCGACCGCUUCCUGACAGCUCCAGUUAAUGGGACUGCCAGCAGGCUAGACAUCCUUCGCCGGGAUCUGCAGCGCUUAGUUCUGUGCCCGGGAGGGGCUUCUCUCUGUUUUGGGAUUGGAGUGUGGCAUUGCCGCCAGAAAGCCUGCAGAAUUCCGGGUUGUGCAGCCAAGCAGGAACGGUGUACCUUUCUAGACCCAUCGUCUUGCAAUCUUGGACCCUAAGAAAAGAUGUGGAGUGGGCUGCUACCUCCUGGCCUAAAUGAAAGUGAUGCUGAGUCAAACUCGGAAGAUGAAGCUACGUUGGAGAACUCUGGACUUAACUUACAGGAAGAUAAAGAGGAUGAGAGCAUCAGAAAAACAGAAAUCAUAGAUUUCUCAACAGAUGAACCAAAAACUGAAACAGAGUCAAAUGUAAAUGCCUAUGAAGAGUGUCCUUCUGGAAUUCCCAUAGAUAUGUGGAAUGUAGGUUUUCUCUGAAAUGCUCUUGCUACAGCCUGUGCGUGUGCACAUGCCUCUGUGUGUCUCUGCCCUGGUCAGAAUGUGCAUGUAUUCUUGGGACUUAACAGGGAGGGAGAUGGACUCAGAAUGCUUUUACUGUUCUCUGAGGCAUCGGCCACUU